GUUGUGGCUCAGUGGCAGAGCGCUUGCCUAGCAUGUGUGAGGCACUGGGUUCAAUUCUCAGCACCACA
rnacentral:tRNA from 1 species